UACGUAGGGUGCGAGCGUUGUCCGGAAUUACUGGGCGUAAAGAGCUCGUAGGUGGUUUGUCGCGUUGUUCGUGAAAACCGAGGGCUUAACCCUCGGCGUGCGGGCGAUACGGGCAGACUAGAGUUCGGUGAGGGGAGACGUGGAAUUCCUGGUGUAGCGGUGAAAUGACGCAGAUAUCAGGAGGAACACCGGUGGCGAAGGCGGGUCUCUGGGCCGAAACUGACGCUGAGGAGCGAAAGCGUGGGGAGCAAACAGG
rnacentral:rRNA from 1 species